GGCUGCAACUCGCCUAUAUGAAGUUGGAAUCGCUAGUAAUCGCGAAUCAGAAUGUCGCGGUGAAUACGUUCCCGGGUCUUGUACACACCGCCCGUCACACCACGAGAGUUUACAACACCCGAAGUCAGUGGCCUAACCGCAAGGAGGGAGCUGCCUAAGGUGGGGUAGAUGAUUGGGGUGAAGUCGUAACAAGGUACC
rnacentral:rRNA from 1 species